rnacentral:lncRNA from 1 species
AAGAUCCGUUAACCCAUCAAGCCCGUGAUAUUAUCUAUCAUGAGUACCCUUCUUUCACUUUGACCUUUAAUACUAGACUAACUUCAAUAUAAUUUGUCACCAUCCAAUUCUAGCUCGAUUGGAUAACUAAAUCACAAACUUGUUAAGGUUUAACAAUUUAACCCAAAAAAGAGUAAACCUAAGUUAAUAAUAAUAAGUCAAUCAAUCUUUUAUAAGUUAACUUAAGUCCUAAUGAUAAACUGAACAUUGGAUAAUAUACUAAUAGUGUUAGUUACCACAACAAAGCAUAAGCAAUCACUAGAAUAGUUUCAGAACCUUGAGAUUUGGUUAUUAGUACAACAAUACUUUUUGCCUAAGAUUUUAUUGUAGCCACAUUAAUAUAUAUACAAUUGUGAAUACAUCAUAAAAUUAAAGGUCAGUUACCCCCCAUCAAGCCUGUGAUAUUAUCUAUCAUGAGUAGUCUUUUUUUACUUGGACCCUUAACACUAGACUAACUUCAAUAUAAUUUAUCAUGAUCUAAUUCUAACUCGAUUGUAUAACUAAAUAACCAACUUGUUAAGGUUUAAUCACUUAACCUAAAAAAGAGUAAACCUAAGUUACUAAUAAUAAUUAAAUAAAUCUUUUAUAAGUUAAAUUAAGUCCUAAUGAUAAACUGAACAUGGAAUAAUAUACUAAUAGUGUUAGUUACCACAAGUAAACAUAAGCUUUCACUAGAAGAGUUUUAGAACCUUGAGAUUUGGUUAUUAGUACAACAAUACGUUU